UCCUGGUGGCUCAGAUGGUAAAGAAUCUGCCUGCAAUGCAGGAGACCCGGGUUCAAUACCCUGAUCAGGAA
rnacentral:tRNA from 1 species